GAAAAUCUCUCUGACCUGUUUGUUCUUUCAGCAGACUCAGUUAGUGUUUAACUCGACAGCAGCAGAAACACAGCAGAGGUAACCAAAACAUGAGGAAUCCUGCAGCUAAAGUUCAGACAAUCAGUACAGGGGAAACCUUUGGAGCAGAUGUGGAUCUGAUGAACCAAGUCAUCCAAAAGGAUACAAGUCGAGAUGCACAACACAUCAUCCUUUUCUGUCCAAUCACAUCUCGUGUUGGCUCAGAUGUGCAGGCAGCCUUGGAAAAAGUCCCAUAUGGUCGAAGAAUCAUCCUGGUUUUGAUGCACCACACCCGAGAUGCUGACUAUUCAACAGCUGGGAUAAAGUGGUCAGAAUACAUUGAAAACGUUGUCCUGGAUGUUCAUGUUCUCUUCCACGAAAGUGUCCCAGGAUUACUGAGCUGUGCACAAAAUCACAAGGCAGUGUCGGAAAUAAGACAUUUUUUAGAAGAACACAAAAAGAAUUCAGAUCAGAGUGGGGCUUUGAUUGGGUUUUGCUACUGGCUAUUGUGUUGUGUUUUUUCUUGGGUCUUGUCUGAUGAAAGGUUUUGGAUGAGGCUCUGGAACUGGUUCUGGCAUUCAGACAGGCUUUGGGUGAGCCUUGUAAUUUGGUUUGGUACUCAGCUUUCUCAUUUGAUUUCAGUUUUGCUCUUCUAUGUAAGAAAAGUUAUUAAAGACAGACUUUCUUAAUAUCAUUAUUAACUCUACAACUUGUAUGUUUAUAUACAAGUUGUUUAAUGUCUCUUACACACAAACAGUCAUUACAAAAUUACCCAUAUGAACACAGACACAGUUAUGUGCAGAAACUAGAGAACAGCUCAGCCAGAGUUCCGAUAUUUGUAGUCACAGAUACUUAUCUGACUUGUAUCAUAGGCUCCAAAGGCAUUUAUUAUGACAUUACAUUGAAAUAAAAAUCUCUUACUUUCUAUUUACUGAAGGUCAAAUAGACACUUUGAAUAAAUGAAUUCUUGUGACUCUUUUGAUGCAUGUUGUAGCUUUGAAUUAAACCUCUGCCUAUAACUAUUGCAACAUGAUGUUUGGAAA